rfam:Ornithorhynchus anatinus chromosome 18, whole genome shotgun sequence.
AGCAGCGUGGCUCAGUGGAAAGAGCCUGGGCUUCGGAGUCAGAGGUCGUGGGUUCGAUUCCCGGCUCCGCCG